rnacentral:rRNA from 1 species
AAGAGUUUGAUCAUGGCUCAGAUUGAACGCUGGCGGCAGGCCUAACACAUGCAAGUCGAACGGUAGCACAGAGAGCUUGCUCUCGGGUGACGAGUGGCGGACGGGUGAGUAAUGUCUGGGAAACUGCCUGAUGGAGGGGGAUAACUACUGGAAACGGUAGCUAAUACCGCAUAACGUCGCAAGACCAAAGAGGGGGACCUUCGGGCCUCUUGCCAUCAGAUGUGCCCAGAUGGGAUUAGCUAGUAGGUGGGGUAACGGCUCACCUAGGCGACGAUCCCUAGCUGGUCUGAGAGGAUGACCAGCCACACUGGAACUGAGACACGGUCCAGACUCCUACGGGAGGCAGCAGUGGGGAAUAUUGCACAAUGGGCGCAAGCCUGAUGCAGCCAUGCCGCGUGUAUGAAGAAGGCCUUCGGGUUGUAAAG